CUUUGGGUAAAGCUUUGCCCUUUCAUCGUCAAGGUCUUGGGUCUAUCUUGAUUUUUAUUUUUAUUUUUUUGAGUAUCGCAGUACCCGUUCAAUCCUUACAUUAUAAGAGUAUACGAUUGAUUGAGUACGAUGUGAUAUUGGCAUUGAAACUGAAAAAAGAAAGGGAAAAAAAUCAAUCUUCUUCUCUAUUCACUCAAAGUUUGAAAAUUUACAGUAAGAAAAGUAGAAAAAAGGAAAAGGAAAUGAGUAGAACAAGCUCAGGGACGAAGCCCACAAUGGUUCUUCCCUACCAGACCCCAAGCUUGACAGAGCAUUACAGCAUAGGGAAGAAACUUGGGCAAGGUCAGUUUGGGACUACAUACCUCUGUACCCACAAACCAACGGGGCAGCACUUCGCCUGCAAGUCAAUCCCAAAGCGGAAGCUGAUUUGUCAAGAGGACUACGAUGAUGUUUGGAGAGAAAUCCAGAUAAUGCACCACUUAUCCGAGCACCCACAUGUGGUGAGGAUCAGGGGUACCUACGAGGAUCAGCUAUCUGUGCACUUGGUGAUGGAGCUUUGUGAGGGCGGUGAACUUUUUGAUAGGAUAGUCCAGAAAGGUCAUUACAGUGAGAGGGAAGCUGCUAAGUUGAUCAAAACCAUUGUUGGAGUUGUUGAGGCUUGUCAUUCUCUUGGGGUCAUGCACAGAGAUCUUAAGCCUGAGAACUUCUUGUUUGAUACGGUUGAGGAAGAUGCUACGCUCAAGGCCACUGAUUUUGGGUUGUCUGUUUUCUACAAGCCAGGUGAAUCUUUCUCUGAUGUUGUCGGGAGUCCAUACUACGUUGCACCAGAGGUUUUACGGAAGCAUUAUGGACCUGAAGCAGAUGUGUGGAGUGCUGGUGUUAUUCUGUACAUAUUAUUGAGUGGGGUGCCACCAUUUUGGGCAGAAACUGAAAUGGGAAUUUUCCGGCAGAUUUUACAAGGGAAAAUAGAUUUUGAUUCAGAACCUUGGCCUGCUAUUUCUGAUAGUGCAAAGGAUCUCAUAAGAAAAAUGCUUGACCGCCAUCCAAAGAGAAGGCUAACUGCUCAUCAAGUCUUGUGCCACCCAUGGAUUGUAGAUGACACCAUUGCACCCGAUAAGCCUCUUGAUUCUGCAGUAUUGUCACGCCUGAAGCAGUUCUCAGCAAUGAACAAACUUAAAAAGAUGGCUUUGCGAGUUAUAGCAGAAAGGCUUUCGGAAGAAGAAAUCGGUGGUCUGAAAGAGUUAUUUAAAAUGAUAGAUACCGACAAUAGUGGAACAAUUACAUAUGAAGAAUUAAAAGACGGCCUCAAACGAGUGGGUUCUGAACUUAUGGAAUCCGAGAUCAAAGAUCUUAUGGAUGCAGUAAGGAAUUCCAUCGAUGUUAUUUGGCAAUCCUUGUGUACACCUGUUGCACUUACUUUUUAUCCUUUGCUAAACGGACAAACCUUCAUGUUGUUUUGGCAGGCAGACAUUGACAACAACGGGACAAUCGAUUACGGUGAAUUCCUUGCUGCCACGGUGCACUUGAAUAAACUGGAAAGGGAAGAGAAUCUGGUGGGUGCCUUCUCCUUUUUCGACAAAGAUGGGAGUGGAUACAUAACCAUUGAUGAGCUUCAACAAGCCUGCGAAGAGUUUGGAUUAAGCGACGUCCAUCUUGACGAGAUGAUCAAAGAAAUCGAUCAAGAUAACGAUGGACAAAUAGACUAUGGGGAGUUUGCAGCAAUGAUGAGGAAGGGCAAUGGAGGUAUUGGGAGGAGAACUAUGAGAAGGACGAUCAAUUUGGGAGACGCGUUCGGGGUGAAGUCAAAUGGAGCUAAGGAAUUGAAUAGUUCAGUUUGAAUGUGUUAUUCGCACUGAUCCGGUUUGGUGAGUUCCACAAGUUGGGGAAUCUACAUGUAGGAGAAACAAUGAUAGGUGAACUACACUACACCAAGAUAGCUCUUACAAGCAUAAACUACACCACAUCAAGGCACUGAAGUGCGAAGCCCGUAGGUAUCAAAUCUUUAAAGAUAUUCGAAUACAUCCCUCCACCACACCAAAGUCUCUGUAGAAACAAUGAAUACUCGAUGAUCCACAACAAAUGCUGAAUCCCAAAAUAACCUAUUAUAAUCUCCAUAUCAUCAAUUAUCCCGUAGAUAAGUGCAUAUAUGACCCUAUUGGCGUGCCAACUGUAUCCUAGUCUUUUACUAAGUUCACGUGGGCAUCAAUCAUUCAUAUUUACAUAUUUAUUCAAAAUAAAUAAAUUAAUUAAUACGUUAUAAA